GACAGAUGAACACAAGGCAGAAAGAACUCAAAUGACAAGUAAUUGCACAAGAGGCCUGGACUAUGCUACCACACAACCUGGCAAAGACUGGAUGUGAGAGCAGUUUGGAUGGAUUACAGGAUCACCAGCCAGAGACUUCCAAGACAACUACUAGGCAUCACCAAAGAAGCAGUUAGUCACACCCACACCCACAUUCACACAGGGAAGAGAAAGAGAGAAGGCAAAUCCACACCUGGAGGACAAGGGGUAACUAUCACAGGUUGAUGCUGCCACGCUGAGGUGUGGUGCAAGGCGACAGAGUGGAAAACACAGACUCAACCUGGGCAGAGCAACCCUGCGGGCGUUUGUCAUUUGGAGGGACUCCAGCCGACAGGUGGCUGCUGUGGUCGACUGCUCCCCAUGCACCUUAUCCAGCAAGAUUAUGGAACAACUAUCAGGCUGAAUUUGGUCUUGUGCGCUGGGCCAGUGGGGACACUUAAUUCAGCCUGCAGUCAGAGGAGAUGAACCCACACUGUGUUCUUGAACAUUCAUUUCCUCGAGGGAAACAGUUCCUGUAGGCUUAACAUGCAGCUGAUGACUCCCUUGAUUACCUGCAGCUCUUUCCACUUCCGUCUUGUUGUUGUCCUGCACUCUCUCUCACUCUCAUUGGUUUCCAUCCUCAUUUGACCCUAUUGAUUUAUCCCGCUCAUUCUCCUUUUCGUAUGUAUUUGCACAGCUAAUCUGCAGUGCAGCUUUGACCUAUUGUCCAAACAAUGAAGUGGAAACGAGCUGCAAUAGCUGAAUGAAAAGCAUGGCAAUUGUGUUUCAAUUGUUCUACGUUAGCGAAAGCAUCCAUGUCAAAAGGUUAGCCAACCAAAAUGCUCGCAGGCCUGUAGACAGCAACACAAAACACUAAGAAAGAAAAAUCAGUAUUUAGAUAUUUAUUCUGUAUAGGUUAGUUUACAAAAAUUAAAGAAGGUUUGUAAUGUUUGGAUGAAGAUUGAUCCAUAAAUAUCUAAUCACUAGCUCUAGUAACCCUGAGCUGUUACAUCUAAACACAAAAGCUCUGUUUCUUUUGUGGGUUUUCAUUCUUCUAGUUUGGUCCACCUGAAGCCACACUGGAGAGGACACUGAAAACAACAUUCAAAAUGAAUAAGACUCUGGAGUUUUUAUUUGAUUUUUUUUUUUUGCUCGUCAGAGAAGGGUAGCUUUUUUCAGCUGUGGUAAUAAAAUGAAAAAUACUUCUGUAAGCUUCUGUAAGGGAAAUUUUUCCUUAGGUGGGCUUACUAAGGGUCUGGUAGAGAUCACUUGACAGAGUCACUCACUAGAGGUGCCUCACAGUUAUAAUAUAAGAAUUUAAUGAUUUAGUGUUCAUCUCCUGGUGCCACAGAGCUAUAGACAUCCAGUUUUGUAAAAGCUUUGGAGAAAGGCCUUGCAUAGUCAACAUGCCUUCACUGAGUUGUAAUCAUUUUUUUUUUACUUUUACUUUUAUUGUCACCAUGCAUGCAAUGUCUUGUAUUCAAAAUGAAUAUAUGGAAUGUAUCUAAGUAGCAGCAAACAUGAUUAGCUUGUACUAUUAUCCGUGUUAUUGGAAUGACUUUGCAGUGACAAAUGGUAGCGAUUCACUCUAUUUUCCAACAACUAUAGGAAUAUUAUCAUUGAACUGGAGUGUCAAGGCUGUGUGAUGAGAAGCACACCUUAGGACUCAGACUUAAAUGUUUUAAUGCAAAUGGGUUUGCUUGUGUGAAUGAUGGUAAGUUCUUGCGGAAGAAAACUAGCAGGUGAUACAAAGACAAUGAAACUGUUAGUUUGGAGUGAAUGGAGCAGACACGGAGAGAUUGGAACAUGAGGAGGGUCUUGCACAAGGAGAAGGUGGAGUUACAACUUGGUGACAUCUUUACACAAGAACCAAGUGCUAGGAAUUAGUCCUGACUGCACUAGUGAUGAAACAACCUGCAAUGGCGUGAGUGGCAGGACUUGGGUUGAUAUAGAGUAGUUAGAUGAUUGAGUUGGGGGUGAUUAGUCGAUUGAGACCAAUCAGGCAGUCAAGUGUGCUAUCCAGAGAACGAUGCCCAAGAGUGUACACAAACACAGACAGAACCCAAGAGGCAAGGCAGGCCAGUAAGGCAGGCAUAGGAAUUAUGACAAAACCUCCACUACAUGCUAUUUCUUUUUUUGUUUUACUCCAACAAUCUGAUAAGACAGUUGUUCUUGUAAUAUUAGACAUUUACUAAAAAUGAUUCAUUCAUCCUCAUGUGAAUUCGAAGCAAAUUCAGCAUAGCCAAGCUCUCUUUGUGUUAGCUGGCUUGACAAAACUGAACACCUGGGUCAAAGAUAACAAGUAUCAAGACAGUGUUUAACAGUUUUUUCUGUUAACCAAAGUGUCUGCUUCAAGCUCUGUGUACUUUCACACAAAGGAGGCCAUUUGACAGGUCAUCAAGUCUUCUAAGCAAAAUGAAUCAACUGAGCACUGCCAGCUGCUAUCAGAAACACUAUCAGGGCAAUGAGUGAAAGAGGACUUAUUAUAUUAAAAUGUUUGUAUUACCUCC